GAUGAACGCUGGCGGCGUGCCUAAUACAUGCAAGUCGAGCGAACGGACGAGAAGCUUGCUUCUCUGAUGUUAGCGGCGGACGGGUGAGUAACACGUGGAUAACCUACCUAUAAGACUGGGAUAACUUCGGGAAACCGGAGCUAAUACCGGAUAAUAUUUUGAACCGCAUGGUUCAAAAGUGAAAGACGGUCUUGCUGUCACUUAUAGAUGGAUCCGCGCUGCAUUAGCUAGUUGGUAAGGUAACGGCUUACCAAGGCAACGAUGCAUAGCCGACCUGAGGGGGGGGUCGGCCACACUGGAACGGAGACACGGUCCAGGCUCCUGCGGGAGGCAGCAGUAGGCAAUCUUCCGCAAUGGGCGAAAGCCUGACGGAGCAGCGCCGCGUGAGUGAUGAAGGUCUUCCGAUCGUAAAGCUCUGUUAUUAGGUAAGAACAGAUGUGUAAGUAACUGUGCACAUCUUGACGGUACCUAAUCAGAAAGCCACGGCUAACUACGUG
rnacentral:rRNA from 1 species